UGGGGGAUAUUGCACAAUGGGCGAAAGCCUGAUGCAGCGACGCCGCGUGGGGGAUGAAGGCCUUCGGGUUGUAAACUUCUUUUGCUCUGAACAAGGCGCACCAUGGGGUGUGUUGAGUGUAGGGGUUGAUUAGCGCCGGCUAACUACGUGCCAGCAGCCGCGGUAAUACGUAGGGCGCGAGCGUUGUCCGGAAUUAUUGGGCGUAAAGGGCUUGUAGGUGGCUGGUUGCGUCUGUCGUGAAAGCUCAUGGCUUAACUGUGGGUUUGCGGUGGGUACGGGCUGGCUGAAGUGCAGUAGGGAGGGCUGGAUUUCCUGGUGUGGCGGUGGAAUGGGAGAAUAUAAGAGGGAUUACGGGUGGCGAAGGGGGGUCUUUGGGCUGUUCCUGACACUGAGAGGCGAAGGAAUGGGAGCGAACAGG
rnacentral:rRNA from 1 species